AAGCUAUGGAAUAGUCUCUCUAUCGAUACGAAACUGGCAGAAUCAAUGCACCUGUUCAAAAGCCAUUUAAAACUUAACUCUAAUACUAUAUAUAUUUGAAAUAAAUUGUAACUCCGUCUAACCAUAACAUCUGGGGUCACACCAAUUUGUAAAUAGUCUUCUUUUCCCUUAUAUCUUUUGUAAUUUUUAACAUUGUAGACGCCCCCCGUGGAAACCAACGUACCGUUGACGGGGC